ensembl:lncRNA LINC02761 long intergenic non-protein coding RNA 2761
GUUGGUGGCUGCAUCCCAAUGGGGAGAAAUGAGGCCCGGAUGAUGAAACUAAGGAUCCCAGAGGCUGAGUGACUUCCCCGGAGUCCCUCGGUGGGAUCGUUGAUUCCUUUUCCACAACUGGAACCAGAGGCCAGAAGAGAUGGCCCCCCGAAGGACCAGGACUAGGACACGAAGGCAGGUUUCGGGACCUCAGACGUCUACAGUAACCACGCUGCGCGACCAACACCUAAGGAUGCCCCGGCUCCAGACUGAGACCCAAGUCUGACUUCCCCCUGCCAGUUGAGGCUCCUUGCCUGGUUGCUGCGACGAUUCGAGAUGGGCCUUACCCGGGCCCCACGCGUGUCGCAGGCACGCAGCACGCACGCUUAGUAAACACCAGCUGUAGUGA